GUAACAUCUGGGAUGGCAUGAGGGUGAGUAAAUGAUGAGUUUUCAUUUUUGGGUGAACUAUCCCUUUAAGGUGUUUUGCAGUUAAAUUUUUCAAGAGUCACAGAAUGAUGAACAAUGGUGUUGGCCAUGUGAUUUAAACUGAUGAAGUAAUAAGUUUGCUUCUGUUCUCUGCAGGUAUGGCUCAAACUCAGGAGGUGAGCGUGAGAUACAGAGAACUAUGUUGGAGCUGCUGAACCAGUUGGAUGGAUUUGACUCCCGUGGAGACGUUAAAGUCAUCAUGGCUACUAAUAGGAUAGAGACCCUUGAUCCUGCCCUCAUUAGACCUGGAAAAUUAAUGAGCUUACCAUGUUUAUUUCUAGUAUGGGUUUCACAUUCUAAUUAAAUUAAACUUGACUCCAUGCCCUUGUACAUAUAUCUAUGAUGUAAAAAAACACUAGUGUGCAGCUCAGGUUUAGGAUUCCGUGGAUUUCUUGUUUUUACAUCAAGAUUUUUAAGUCAAAAAAUAUAUAAAUGUAAUAAGUAGGUUCUUUAACCGUUUACCAUUUUUAAUAAGAUAUUUGCCUUCACUAGUUUAUUUUAAAUGGUCCUGCGGCAGUGACAAAUUAAUUUUUAAAAGCACAAAUAUUGCUUGUAGUCUCUCAGUUAAAAUAAGGUCUUUCUGCAUGCAUUAUAAUUAUAAAAGUAUUAGCAAAAUGCUGUUUAGAUGGAGUAUAAUGGGACAUGUUAACUUUCCAAAAAGUAUUUCAUAUCAACUAUCCAUUUUCUGUUUGUGUUUUUAAUAAUUUGCACAAAACUACACUUACAAAGAUGUGUUAAGAAUGGAUUAUUAUUGGAAAAGUAUCAUGAUAUGACCUCUUAUUUUAACAAUACUUUAAUAUCCAACAUUAGUGUCAUAGAAAGAGUGGGUUUGCACUUUUUGUUUUUUUGUAAUUCCACAGGCAGAAUUGGUCGUAAGAUUGAGUUCCUGCUGCCAGAUGAGAAGACUAAUCAGGAUGACUUUUGGAACGCCCAAUUCCCACUUCUUAGUGGGUUACUCACCUCAGUCUGGGUGGUGGAGGACAAGUCUCAGUUGCCUCCACUUCUGAGACCAUCAAUCCGCGCAUCUUAUCACGUGGCACAUUGUGCAUGACACUGCGGAGACUCCCAGCAUGUGGAGACUCAUGCUACUCUCCGCGAUCCAUGCACAACUUACCACAUGCUCCAUUGAGAGCAAGAACCACUAAUUGUGACCACGAGGAGGUUACCCCAUGUGACUCUACCCUCCCUAGCAACUGGGCCAAUUUGGUUGCUUAGAAGACCUGGCUGGAGUCACUCAGCACACCCUGGGUUUGAACCUGCGACUCCAGGGGUGGUAGCCAUUUGUACAGAGGCAGGGCUGAUGGCUCUAAGGGAAAGGAGAAUGAAAGUUACAAACGAAGAUUUCAAGAAGUCCAAAGAGAACGUCCUAUAUAAGAAACAGGAGGGGACACCAGAGGGGCUCUACCUUUUACCCACCGCCAGUCAAAGUCCUGUCUCACACCAUUACUUUUUUUUAUAGUUACACUUAUUCCUGAUGUUAACCUCUGUUGUUCAUUUGUGCUCGAUGGCAAUUAAAUGUUUGCAUACACUAAGUGUCUUUGAGUCUUAGCAGAACCCAUAUUCACUGCUGAUCUGAGUAGAAUCAAGGGUGAGUCUCACAAAAGCAUGUCCAGGUCACAUUUCACCCCAAUAUCAAAAGAAGAAAAAUAUGAAAUUAUCGCAUAAAUAAAAUUAAGCUUAUUUUUGGAUUGUUAGGAUUUGUUGUGACAUUAUUUUUCUCUAUGGUUUCUUUGAUUUCUCAAUGGUGAUUCUCAGUAUUUAUUUAAAUAAGCACAUACUACUAUAUAUAUAUAUAUAUAUAUAUAUAUAUAUGUGUGUGUGUGUGUGUGUGUGUAUUUAUAAAUGUGUAUAUA